rnacentral:rRNA from 1 species
GGCAUUGCCUUAGUAACGGCGUGAAGCGGCAACAGAAAUUUGAAAUCUGGCUCCCGGGGUCCGAGUUGUAAUUUGUAGAGAGUGCGGGGGAGACUGCGGUCUAAGUCCAUUGGAACAUGGUGUCAUAGAGGGUGAGAAUCCCGUAUGUGACCGCGGCUCGAACCCAUGUGAAGCCUCUUCGACGAGUCGAGUUGUUUGGGAAUGCAGCUCAAAAUGGGUGGUAAAUUUCAUCUAAAGCUAAAUACUGGCUGGAGACCGAUAGCGCACAAGUAGAGUGAUCGAAAGAUGAAAAGCACUUUGGAAAGAGAGUUAAACAGUACGUGAAAUUGUUGAAAGGGAAGCGCUUGCAACCAGACCUGCCCGUAGGCGAUCAGCCGCUGUUCUCAGCGGUGCACUCGCUCUGCGAUCAGGCCAGCAUCGGUUUCGGCGGUCGGAUAAAGGCCUUGGGAAUGUAGCUCUCUUUCGGGGGAGUUUUAUAGCCCUCGGUGCAAUGCGGCCAGCCGGGACCGAGGACCGCGCUUCGGCUAGGAUGCUGGCGUAAUGGUUGUCAGCGACCCGUCUUGAAACACGGACCAAGGAGUCUAACAUCUAUGCGAGUGUUUGGGUGUCAAACCCAUGCGCGGAAUGAAAGUGAACGGAGGUUGAG